UUUUUUUUUUUUUUUUUUUUUUUUAUUUUUUUUAUUUUUUUUUUUUUUUUUUUUUUUUUUUUUUUUUUUUUAUUUUAUGUUUUAAUUCUUUGGAAUAUGUAAUAUAUUUAUACUCAUUUAAAGUAGUGAACAAAAAUAGUGCUACAAUAAGUGCAGUUGCAAGAAAAAAAAAGAUUUAAGAUUUAUAUAAUCAAAUGAUUAAGUAUAAAAAUAAAUAGAAAAAUCUCUUUUUUUUUGUUUUGUUUUAAGUUUUGCAUCCUUUUUAAAGUUAAUAAAUAAAUAAAAAGAAACAGGGAAAAUGAUUAACCAUGAAGAAUAUUGUAUACCUAAAAGAAUUUUGUCUAUGCUUGCAACUGCACUUAUUGUAGCACUAUUUUUUGUUCACUACUUUAAAUGAGUAUAAAUAUAUUACAUAUUCCAAAGAAUUAAGGCCUAUAAUAAAAAAUGCUAUACCAGUAUCAUGUAUCCCCCUUGAAGAAAACAAUAAGAAAAUCGUGCAUAUAAAUUGUCCAUUACAAGAUCAAGAAAUGUUUUAUGCACCACCAGAAUUCAGUAACAACAUUUAUUCGUUUAAAGGUGUUUUUUUUUGAAAUUAAAGUGGAGAUGUACCAAUGGGUAAAAUAUUAUGGAUGUUUAGGUUUAUUUGCUAAAGGAAAAUUUAUGGAUCAUGUAGUACCAAACCCUUAUAAUUUUUUUUUUUUUCAUAAAAGUAGAAAAAACCCAACUUACAUACCAUAUGUUCAGGGAAUUGGAAGAAAGUAUGCGAAUUAUGCUAAAGCGGGCAGUUAUAGACUUCCAAAAAAUGCUUUAAUAAAUUUUCAGCAAAAAAAAAAAAUUGGAUUUAGUAGAUGA
rnacentral:lncRNA from 1 species